CCUACGGGAGGCAGCAGUGAGGAAUAUUGGUCAAUGGGCGCGAGCCUGAACCAGCCAAGUAGCGUGAAGGAUGACUGCCCUACGGGUUGUAAACUUCUUUUAUAAAGGAAUACAGUGAGGCACGUGUGCCUUUUUGUAUGUACUUUAUGAAUAAGGAUCGGCUAACUCCGUGCCAGCAUCCGCGGUAAUACGGAGGAUCCGAGCGGUAUCCGGAUGUAUUGGGUUAAAAGGGAGCGGAGAUGGGUUGUUAAGUCAGCGGUAAAAGUCCGGGGCUCAACCCCGGCGAGCCGUUGAAACUGGCUGUCUUGAGAUGUCGAGAGGUAUGCGGAAUGCGCAGUGUAGCGGUGAAAUGCUUAGAUAUUGCGCAGAACUCCGAUUGCGAAGGCAGCAUACCGGCGGCGAUCUGACGCUGAGGCACGAAAGCGUGGGUAUCGAACAGGAUUAGAUACCCGUGUAGUC
rnacentral:rRNA from 1 species